UUGGUCCCCUUUAACCAGCUA
rnacentral:miRNA from 1 species